rnacentral:rRNA from 1 species
AUUGAACGCUGGCGGCAUGCCUUACACAUGCAAGUCGAACGGUAACAGGUCUUCGGAUGCUGACGAGUGGCGAACGGGUGAGUAAUACAUCGGAACGUGCCUAGUAGUGGGGGAUAACUACUCGAAAGAGUGGCUAAUACCGCAUGAGAUCUACGGAUGAAAGCAGGGGAUCGUAAGACCUUGUGCUACUAGAGCGGCCGAUGGCAGAUUAGGUAGUUGGUGUGAUAAAAGCUUACCAAGCCGACGAUCUGUAGCUGGUCUGAGAGGACGAUCAGCCACACUGGGACUGAGACACGGCCCAGACUCCUACGGGAGGCAGCAGUGGGGAAUUUUGGACAAUGGGCGAAAGCCUGAUCCAGCAAUGCCGCGUGCAGGAUGAAGGCCUUCGGGUUGUAAACUGCUUUUGUACGGAACGAAAAGCCCCGGGUUAAUACCCUGGGGUCAUGACGGUACCGUAAGAAUAAGCACCGGCCAACUACGUGCCAGCCGCCGCGGUAA